rnacentral:rRNA from 1 species
CAGCAGCCACGGUAAUGCGUAGGUGGCAAGCGUUGUCCGGAAUUAUUGGGCGUAAAGGGCUCGCAGGCGGUUUCUUAAGUCUGAUGUGAAAGCCCCCGGCUCAACCGGGGAGGGUCAUUGGAAACUGGGAAACUUGAGUGCAGAAGAGGAGAGUGGAAUUCCACGUGUAGCGGUGAAAUGCGUAGAGAUGUGGAGGAACACCAGUGGCGAUGGCGACUCUCUGGUCUGUAACUGACGCUGAGGAGCGAAAGCGUGGGGAGCGAACAGGAUUAGAUACCCCAGUAGUCCCUGUCUCUUAUAC